rnacentral:rRNA from 1 species
UAGGGAAUAUUGCGCAAUGCCCGAAAGGGUGACGCAGCGACGCCGCGUGAGGGAUGAAGGCCUUCGGGUUGUAAACCUCUGUCACCCGGGAAGAACAUGCUGGCGGUGAACAAUCGCCGGCGUUGACGUUACCGGGAAAGGAAGCACCGGCUAACUCUGUGCCAGCAGCUGCGGUAAUACAGAGGGUGCAAACGUUGCUCGGAUUCACUGGGCGUAAAGGGCACGUAGGUGGCCCGGUAACUCAGUCGUGGAAUCCCGCCGCUCACCGGUGGAAUUGCGACUGAAAAUGCCAGGCUUGAGAGCAGGAGGGGUGAGAGGAACUCUAGGUGGAGCGGUGAAAUGCGUAGAUAUCUAGAGGAACGCCGGAGGCGAAAGCGUCUCACUGGCCUGCUUCUGACACUGAGGUGCGAAAGCCAGGGGAGCAAACGGGAUUAGAUACCCCCGUAGUCC